ACCACAAGGCUCAGGGACUGAAAAGCAGGGUAAGCGGCCGCAGCCAUGAUGGUUAGACCCGAGUCGCCAACGGUACGGUGUCGGGCGGCCGCGGGCUGGUCUGCGGCAUUUGGGACCGGGCAAAAAACGUGUUUUAUUGUCAUCAUAAAAAUAAGAGUUGGGUGGACUAGUGAUCACACUGCGUUGGUGACUGAAAAGGUUAUUUAUGUGACUGCUUUUUGCAAACCUACGUGAUCGCAAGUAACAAAAAGGGACCAACGGGAAGAAGUAGGUAAAUUUCAAGGCGAAAGCGGGGACACUUGGACCACUGCAGGCUUUUUUUGUUUGUUUUGGUGCUUCUGCUAGGCGAAGAUACGAUGGGGGUCUUCCCCUUCGCCAUUUUACCCAUUCGGAAGGAACUGAGAUAAGUGCUUUUCAACCAACCUUCGUCCUUUUUUUAAACAUAAAAUGGCCUCAGAGAAGGUUCCCAAAGCACAGCCGCCAAAAACAACCUAAGAAACCCC
rnacentral:lncRNA from 1 species